CCCUCCUUUAUGAUAGCUCAGUUGGUAGAGAAUGAGACUUUUAAUCUCAGGGUCGCGGGUUUCAGCAAAAGAUUUCUGCAUUGCAGGGGG